rnacentral:rRNA from 1 species
CAAUCAAACCGGGAGAUAGCUGGUUCUCCCCGAAAGCUAUUUAGGUAGCGCCUCGUGAAUUCAUCUCCGGGGGUAGAGCACUGUUUCGGCUAGGGGGCCAUCCCGGCUUACCAACCCGAUGCAAACUGCGAAUACCGGAGAAUGUUAUCACGGGAGACACACGGCGGGUGCUAACGUCCGUCGUGAAGAGGGAAACAACCCAGACCGCCAGCUAAGGUCCCAAAGUCAUGGUUAAGUGGGAAACGAUGUGGGAAGGCCCAGACAGCCAGGAUGUUGGCUUAGAAGCAGCCAUCAUUUAAAGAAAGCGUAAUAGCUCACUGGUCGAGUCGGCCUGCGCGGAAGAUGUAACGGGGCUAAACCAUGCACCGAAGCUGCGGCAGCGAACGUAUCACCCAAGACAACUUUACGGAGUUGACGAUUGACGGAGCGAAGCGACGUCAAAGCGUUCAUUAAAGUCGAGUUGGCUUAGGGAUACGUUCGUUGGGUAGGGGAGCGUUCUGUAAGCCUGUGAAGGUGUGUCGUGAGGCAUGCUGGAGGUAUCAGAAGUGCGAAUGCUGACAUAAGUAACGAUAAAGCGGGUGAAAAGCCCGCUCGCCGGAAGACCAAGGGUUCCUGUCCAACGUUAAUCGGGGCAGGGUGAGUCGACCCCUAAGGCGAGGCCGAAAGGCGUAGUCGAUGGGAAACGGGUUAAUAUUCCCGUACUUGGUGUUACUGCGAAGGGGGGACGGAGAAGGCUAUGUUGGCCGGGCGACGGUUGUCCCGGUUUAAGCGUGUAGGUGUGUGUUCCAGGUAAAUCCGGUUCACUUUAACACUGAGGCGUGACGACGAGGCACUACGGUGCUGAAGCAACAAAUGCCCUGCUUCCAGGAAAAGCCUCUAAGCAUCAGGUAACAUCAAAUCGUACCCCAAACCGACACAGGUGGUCAGGUAGAGAAUACCAAGGCGCUUGAGAGAACUCGGGUGAAGGAACUAGGCAAAAUGGUGCCGUAACUUCGGGAGAAGGCACGCUGACACGUAGGUGAAGUGAUUUACUCAUGGAGCUGAAGUCAGUCGAAGAUACCAGCUGGCUGCAACUGUUUAUUAAAAACACAGCACUGUGCAAACACGAAAGUGGACGUAUACGGUGUGACGCCUGCCCGGUGCCGGAAGGUUAAUUGAUGGGGUCAGCGCAAGCGAAGCUCCUGAUCGAAGCCCCGGUAAACGGCGGCCGUAACUAUAACGGUCCUAAGGUAGCGAAAUUCCUUGUCGGGUAAGUUCCGACCUGCACGAAUGGCGUAAUGAUGGCCAGGCUGUCUCCACCCGAGACUCAGUGAAAUUGAACUCGCUGUGAAGAUGCAGUGUACCCGCGGCAAGACGGAAAGACCCCGUGAACCUUUACUAUAGCUUGACACUGAACAUUGAGCCUUGAUGUGUAGGAUAGGUGGGAGGCUUUGAAGUGUGGACGCCAGUCUGCAUGGAGCCGACCUUGAAAUACCACCCUUUAAUGUUUGAUGUUCUAACGUGGACCCGUAAUCCGGGUUGCGGACAGUGUCUGGUGGGUAGUUUGACUGGGGCGGUCUCCUCCUAAAGAGUAACGGAGGAGCACGAAGGUUGGCUAAUCCUGGUCGGACAUCAGGAGGUUAGUGCAAUGGCAUAAGCCAGCUUGACUGCGAGCGUGACGGCGCGAGCAGGUGCGAAAGCAGGUCAUAGUGAUCCGGUGGUUCUGAAUGGAAGGGCCAUCGCUCAACGGAUAAAAGGUACUCCGGGGAUAACAGGCUGAUACCGCCCAAGAGUUCAUAUCGACGGCGGUGUUUGGCACCUCGAUGUCGGCUCAUCACAUCCUGGGGCUGAAGUAGGUCCCAAGGGUAUGGCUGUUCGCCAUUUAAAGUGGUACGCGAGCUGGGUUUAGAACGUCGUGAGACAGUUCGGUCCCUAUCUGCCGUGGGCGCUGGAGAACUGAGGGGGGCUGCUCCUAGUACGAGAGGACCGGAGUGGACGCAUCACUGGUGUUCGGGUUGUCAUGCCAAUGGCACUGCCCGGUAGCUAAAUGCGGAAGAGAUAAGUGCUGAAAGCAUCUAAGCACGAAACUUGCCCCGAGAUGAGUUCUCCCUGAGACUUAGAGUCUCCUGAAGGAACGUUGAAGA